rnacentral:rRNA from 1 species
UGGUGGGGUAACGGCCCACCAAGCCUAAGAUCCGUACGGGCCAUGGGAGUGGGAGCCCGGAGAUGGACCCUGAGACAAGGGUCCAGGCCCUACGGGGCGCAGCAGGCGCGAAACCUCCGCAAUGCGGGAAACCGCGACGGGGUCAGCCGGAGUGCCGAUGCUUGCAUCGGCUGUCGGGGAGCCUAAAAAGCUCCCCAUAGCAAGGGCCGGGCAAGGCCGGUGGCAGCCGCCGCGGUAAUACCGGCGGCCCGAGUGGCGGUCACUAUUAUUGGGCUUAAAGCGUCCGUAGCCGGGUUGGGAAGUCCUCCGGGAAAUCUGGCCGCUUAACGGUCAGAAUGCCGGAGGAUACUCCCAGCCUAGGGAGCGGGAGAGGCCGAGGGUAUUCCCGGAGUAGGGGUGAAAUCCUAUAAUCCCGGGAGGACCACCUGUGGCGAAGGCGCUCGGCUGGAACGCGUCCGACGGUGAGGGACGAAGGCCAGGGGAGCAAACCGGAUUAGAU